ACAGUACAAACUGAGCAGGCGAUGGAUGAGAUCCAUAGGGCCGGGUUGCCAUAGGCGACAACAGAUGAAGACAGCAUCUGUGGGACAGU
rnacentral:ncRNA from 1 species